rnacentral:rRNA from 1 species
CCUACGGGAGGCAGCAGUGGGGAAUAUUGCACAAUGGGGGAAACCCUGAUCCAGCGACGCCGCGUGGGUGAAGAAGUAUUUCGGUAUGUAAAGCUCUAUCAGCAGGGAAGCAAAAUGACGGUACCUGACUAAGAAGCACCGGCUAAAUACGUGCAAGCAGCCGCGGUAAUACGUAUGGUGCACGCGUUAUCCGGAUUUACUGGGGGUAAAGGGAGUGCAGGGGGCACGCUAAGCCUGAUGUGAAAACCCGCGGCCCAACCGCGGGAGGGCAUUUGCAACUGGCGGGCUGGAGUACCGGAGGGGCAGGCGGAAUUCCUAGUGUAGCGGUGAAAUGCGUAGAUAUUAGGAGGAACACCAGUGGCGAAGGCGGGUUCCUGGACAUUAACUGACGCUGAGGCACGAAGGCCAGGGGAGCGAAAGGGAUUAGAUACCCGAGUAGUC